rnacentral:tRNA from 1 species
UGAGAUAUAGCUCAGUUGGUAGAGUGCUUGCCUUGCAUGCACAAGGCCCUGGGUUCAAUCCCCAGAACCACAA